rnacentral:sRNA from 1 species
CCACCACGGAGUGUGCGGGACACCAUCCUCAGCAGAGCCCUCAUCCUGAAGAUCCUCAUGUCCGCAGCCAUCAUCAUCAAUGGGACCCUGUUUAUCUUCUGGAAGGAGAUGCCUGAAGACAGAGCAAGCACUCCCCGCACCACGACGAUGACGUUCACUUGUUUUGUGUUUUUCGAUCUCUUCAACGCCUUGACCUGCCGCUCUCAGGUGAGACCCGGGCUGACCCUCCUCGCUGCAGAGCUGCUGUGUGUUCUCGACAGCAGCGCCCCGGCCCUGCCCACAGCAUUGAGCGGCUCUGGCUCAGCGUGGGCAGACAGAGCUCCCCUGCCUGUACCUGGGGUGUGGACAGCACACAAUCCCCCGUGUGACCCUCUCCCCACAGACCAAGCUGAUAUUUGAGAUCGGCUUUCUCAGGAACCACAUGUUCCUCUACUCCGUCCUGGGGUCCAUCCUGGGGCAGCUGGCAGUCAUUUACAUCCCC